GAGGUGCUUGUAGAUAACCUCCACGAUGGUGCACCUUGGGCAACACAAAAGUGGCAAAUCAUCUACA
rnacentral:ribozyme from 1 species